rnacentral:rRNA from 1 species
CCUACGGGUGGCAGCAGUGAGGAAUAUUGGUCAAUGGGCGGGAGCCUGAACCAGCCAAGCCGCGUGAGGGAAGAAGGUACAGCGUAUCGUACACCUCUUUUGUCAGGGAACAAAGGCGGGGACUAGUCCCCGGAUGAGGUUACCUGAAGAAAAAGCAUCGGCUAACUCCGUGCCAGCAGCCGCGGUAAUAGGGAGGAUGCGAGCGUUAUCCGGAUUUAUUGGGUUUAAAGGGUGCGCAGGCGGACUGUUAAGUCAGCGGGAAAAGCCAGGGGCUCAACCCCGGCGAGCCGUUGAAACUGGCAGGCUGGAGUUGGAGAGAAGUACGCGGAAUGCGCGGUGUAGCGGUGAAAUGCUUAGAUAUCGCGCAGAACCCCGAUUGCGAAGGCAGCGUACCGGCUCCACACUGACGCUGAGGCACGAAAGCGUGGGUAUCGAACAGGAUUAGAUACCCCUGUAGUC